rnacentral:pre_miRNA from 1 species
AACAUUCAUUGCUGUCGGUGGGUUUUUAGUAUAAAUCAGCUCACUGAUCAAUGAAUGCAAA